rnacentral:rRNA from 1 species
CCUACGGGUUGCAGCAGUGGGGAAUAUUGGGCAAUGGGCGCAAGCCUGACCCAGCAACGCCGCGUGAAGGCAGAAGGCCCUCGGGUUGUAAACUUCUUUUGUCAGGGACGAAGAAAGUGACGGUACCUGACGAAUAAGCCACGGCUAACUACGUGCCAGCAGCCGCGGUAAUACGUAGGUGGCAAGCGUUAUCCGGAUUCACUGGGUGUAAAGGGGGCGUAGACGGCCAGGCAAGCCUGGGGUGAAAGCCCGGGGCCCAACCCCGGGACUGCUCUGGGAACUGUCCGGCUGGAGUGCGGGGGGGGCAGGCGGAAUUCCUGGUGUAGCGGUGAAAUGCGUAGAUAUCAGGAGGAACACCAGCGGCGAAGGCGGCCUGCUGGACCGCGACUGACGUUGAGGCUCGAAAGCGUGGGGAGCGAACAGGAUUAGAUACCCGAGUAGUC